GGAGGAGGAGGAGGAGAGUGAACCAACGUUUUCUAUGAUGUGAAUUCUCUUUUGAGUCGAUUUCACAGCUUUGACAGAAAGAGACACAUUUUCCCUCUUGAAUCCCCUCAGACGGCGUGAAGCGAACCCGAAGGACAAAGGACAUCACCAAAUACCGCGGGAGGCGUCGAUUAAAGAACCGUCUUUUUCGCGCUCGCGGUCAUCCGAUCGACGGGCUUUUAAAUCCAACCAAACGUGAAGAGUGAGCAGGACGUCACCAGGGUUCAUCCUGCAGAGACAGACACAGAGCUCCACCAGGUGAUGGAGAGCUGUUUGCGGUUCAGUAAAAAGACAACGAGGGCAACGAACGCUGCAGCUCAUCCAAACCAUGUCCCUGAUGAUGUUACACAGCCGAUAAGAAAUACUGAUCCACGGCAAAAACAACAGACUCAAUAAUUAGAUCUCAUGCGAUCUGGACCCGGCUCGACCGGCUGUGGGGACUUCUAAUGAACUUAUGUAACCAAACGCUGACUCAGAGCGGCUCCCCGAUGGGGAUCCAAUUGUCGAAUUACGCUUCGGCCUCGUUAUCCUGCCGUCUGCGAGGAAACAGCUUCUACUAGCGGCGGCUCGCUGAAGACGUUUCAGCGUGACGCAGCGAAGGGAAGCUCAGCGGUGGUGUCUAUGACCUGGAUUCAUGUUGUAUCCAUCACAUUGCUGUCGGAUCACACAGACGUCACAUAAUCCAGAGGCCGAGCGCGCGGAAACAUCAAAGGAAGGCAGCAGCAGGUGUAAAGUCGCUGAGUUAAACUGAGCGAUGCGUUCAGGGUAAACGGGCCACAUCGAACCCUGUGCAGGUGACUCAGCAGCUUUUAAACAAUUACUGAUCUCCUCUGGAUUCCCGACCGAACAUGAGGAGUGACUCACUGUGUGUGUGUGUGUGUGUGUGUGUGUGUUGGGGGCUGCACCACUCUGUAAAUGUAGAUUUAGUAUAUUUAUUCUUAUGUUUAAUGUAUUUUACAGGGACGCGAUGAUGCAUUUGUAGGGAACAAUUUUCAGUGGUGGAUUUUACCAAUUUGGGGCCCUAGUGAGUAUUUGAGGCUGCAGGAUUUAUUUAGUUGACAUUGAGGAAAAUAAAUAUGUUCACAACCUUUAAA